CUACGGGCGUCAGCAGUGGGGAAUAUUGGACAAUGGGCGAAAGCCUGAUCCAGCCAUGCCGCGUGUGUGAAGAAGGCCUUCGGGUUGUAAAGCACUUUCAGUGGGGAAGAAAGCCUUGGGGCUAAUACCCUCGAGGAAGGACAUCACCCACAGAAGAAGCACCGGCUAACUCCGUGCCAGCAGCCGCGGUAAUACGGAGGGUGCGAGCGUUAAUCGGAAUUACUGGGCGUAAAGCGCGCGUAGGCGGUCUGAUAAGCCGGUUGUGAAAGCCCCGGGCUCAACCUGGGAACGGCAUCCGGAACUGUCAGGCUAGAGUGCAGGAGAGGAAGGUAGAAUUCCCGGUGUAGCGGUGAAAUGCGUAGAGAUCGGGAGGAAUACCAGUGGCGAAGGCGGCCUUCUGGACUGACACUGACGCUGAGGUGCGAAAGCGUGGGUAGCAAACAGGAUUAGAUACCCGUGUAGUC
rnacentral:rRNA from 1 species